rnacentral:rRNA from 1 species
AACGAACGCUGGCGGCAGGCUUAACACAUGCAAGUCGAACGCCCCGCAAGGGGAGUGGCAGACGGGUGAGUAACGCGUGGGAAUCUACCCAGAUCUACGGAACAACAGUUGGAAACGACUGCUAAUACCGUAUACGCCCUAAGGGGGAAAGAUUUAUCGGAUUUGGAUGAGCCCGCGUAAGAUUAGCUAGUUGGUGGGGUAAUGGCCUACCAAGGCGACGAUCUUUAGCUGGUCUGCGAGGAUGAUCAGCCACACUGGGACUGAGACACGGCCCACACUCCUACGGGAGGCAGCAGUGGGGAAUAUUGGACAAUGGGCGCAAGCCUGAUCCAGCCAUGCCGCGUGAGUGAUGAAGGCCUUAGGGUUGUAACGCUCUUUCAGUAGGGAAGAUAAUGACGGUACCUACAGAAGAAGCCCCGGCUAACUUCGUGCCAGAAGCCGCCGUAAUAC